rnacentral:rRNA from 1 species
GACGAACGCUGGCGGCGUGCUUAACACAUGCAAGUCGAGCGGUAAGGCCCUUUCGGGGGUACACGAGCGGCGAACGGGUGAGUAACACGUGGGUGACCUGCCCUCAGCUCUGGGAUAAGCCUGGGAAACCGGGUCCAAUACCGGAUAUGACUCCAUGACGCAUGUUGUGGGGUGGAAAGCCUUGUGCGGCUGAGGAUGGGCCCGCGGCCUAUCAGCUUGUUGGUGGGGUGAUGGCCUACCAAGGCGACGACGGGUAGCCGGCCUGAGAGGGCGACCGGCCACACUGGGACUGAGACACGGCCCAGACUCCUACGGGAGGCAGCAGUGGGGAAUCUUGCGCAAUGGGCGAAAGCCUGACGCAGCGACGCCGCGUGAGGGAUGACGGCCUCGG